UACAGAGGUCUCAAGCGUUGUUCGGAUUUACUGGGCGUAAAGGGCGCGUAGGCGGCCACCGCAAGUCAGUUGUGAAAGCUCUGGGCUUAACCCAGAAAGGUCAACUGAUACUGCGGGGCUAGAGUGCAGAAGGGGCAACUGGAAUUCUCGGUGUAGCGGUGAAAUGCGUAGAUAUCGAGAGGAACACCUGCGGCGAAGGCGGGUUGCUGGGCUGACACUGACGCUGAAGUGCGAAAGCUAGGGGAGCGAACGGG
rnacentral:rRNA from 1 species